AUGCUACUUUGGCAGCACACGUCACUAAAAUCUAAAGGAUACAGAGAUUAGUGUGGCCCCUGUGCAAGGAUGACACAAAAAUUUGUGAAGUGUUCCCUCUUAGA
ensembl:snRNA U6 U6 spliceosomal RNA